UGUUUCACUAGGUGCAGUGGCCAAAGAGCAGAAGUUCGACCCGCACAUCGAACACAAAAUUGAUAUAAUGUUGGAUCUGGCUCCCAGCCCCGAAGAAGCAGUGCAAGACACUGGAUACAACGGAACUGGCAUCUCCGGUAACCCACUGUCCAAGGCAUUUGCGGCGAUACAAAUAAGGUGCGGUAAUUGCCUGUGCAAACUUCUUGUGAUGAUAGACCAAUAUGGAGAACAAAUGGGCUGCACUCAAGCGGUGAAAAAAUUAUUUUGUUUUUGCCCACCCUCAAGCUGCUAUAUGAACGAAGUUACGAAGUGUCUAGAAAAGUGGGCCACCGGAAAGUGCAAGUAUGAAAGCCUGUUGUUCACUUGCCCCUGAUUUCGCAAUAAAGGCCUCGUUAUCAAACUCC
rnacentral:misc_RNA from 1 species